AACAAAAACACCGCCUGCUUCCUUUUUAGUAGGUAGAUUCUGCCCAAUGAGACUUAAAUGGCCGCAGUAUCCUGACUGUGCUAAGGUAGCAUAAUAAUUUGUCUCUUAAUUGGAGGCUAGUAUGAAUGAACUGACGAAGAAAAGACUGUCUCAGGAGGGGAAGAGAAAAUUUAUAUUCAGGUAAAAAAUCCUGAAAGCUGUAGAGGGACGAUAAGACCCUAAAAGCUUUACCCUUAAAGCCUAAGCUCCUAUAGCUUUAUUAGGCCUGUAGGGUUUUCACUGGGGCGGUGUCUCUGUUAAACCAGAGCAGUUAAAACACUCUGAGUGAACUUAAUAACCUUAGCUAAAAUAUUUAAGUAAGUUACUUUAGGGAUAACAGCGCAAUUCUCUGUGAGAGCCCUUAUCGACCAGAGAGAUUACGACCUCGAUGUUGAAUUGAAGACUUAGCCAGAGCAGCAUUUGGUAACAC
rnacentral:rRNA from 1 species